GGAAUCUUGGACAAUGGGCGCAAGCCUGAUCCAGCCAUGCCGCGUGAGUGAAGAAGGCCUUAGGGUUGUAAAACUCUUUCGCCGGUGAAGAUAAUGACGGUAUCCGGAGAAGAAGCCCCGGCUAACUUCGUGCCAGCAGCCGCGGUAAUACGAAGGGGGCUAGCGUUGUUCGUAAUUACUGGGCGUAAAGUGCACGUAGGCAGAUUUGUAAGUAGGGGGUGAAAUCCCCAGGCUCAACCUGGGAACUGCCUUCUAGACUGCAAGUCUGGAGAUCAGGAGAGGCGAGUGGAAGACCGAGUGUAGAGGUGAAAUUCGUAGAUAUUCGGUGGAACACCAGUGGCGGAGGCGACUCGCUGGACUGAUACUGACGCUGAGGUGCGAAAGCGUGGGGAGCAAAC
rnacentral:rRNA from 1 species